UACAUAGGGGGCAAGCGUUGUCCGGAUUUAUUGGGCGUAAAGCGCUCGCAGGUGGUUCGAUGCGUCGUGCGUGAAAGCCCCCGGCUCAACUGGGGAGUGUCGUGCGAUACGGUCGAACUGGAGGCCAGUAGGGGGAUGCGGAAUUCCGGGUGUAGUGGUGGAAUGCGUAGAGAUCCGGAGGAACACCAGCGGCGAAGGCGGCAUCCUGGACUGGUCCUGACACUCAUGAGCGAAAGCGUGGGGAGCGAGCCGG
rnacentral:rRNA from 1 species